rnacentral:rRNA from 1 species
GAUGAACGCUGGCGGCGUGCCUAAUACAUGCAAGUCGAGCGAACAUACUAGAACCUUCCUGCGCUGACGUUAGCGGCAGACGGGUGAGUAACACGUGGAUAACCUACCUAUAACACUGGUAUAACUUCGAGAAACCGGAUCUUACACCGUAUAAUAUAGUCAACCGCAUGGUUCAUUAGUGAAGUACGUUUUUUCUGUCACUGAUAGAUGGCUCCGCGCCGCAUUAGAUAGUUGGUAAGCUAACGGCUUACGAAGGCAACGAUGCGUAGACGACCUGAGAGGGUGAUAGGCCACACUGGAACUGGAACAGGGACAAGACUACUACGAGAGGCAGCAGUAGGGAAUCGGAGGCAGUGGGGGAAAGCUUGACGGAGCAACGCAGAGUGAGUGAUGACGGUCUUCGGAUCGUAAAAAUCUGUUAUUAGGGAAGAACAAAUGUGUACAUAAAUAUGGACGUCUUGACGGUACCUACAGAGAAAGCAACGGCUAACUACGUG